CUUCAAGUAAGCUAUAUAAGCUAUUGGGCUCAUAACCCAAAAAAGGUAACCCCUUGAAGA
rnacentral:tRNA from 1 species